UACUUCAAGAGCUGAAGUGUUAAACUCCUAGUAAUAUUGGUGAUGCUGAACAUUUUAUAACUCUUGAAGUAUUUAGCCUUUAUCUUUUGUUAGUAUUUAACUAUUACUGUCAAAACAAUUUUCACAUUCUAAUACUUCUAUAGAUACCAAAACUAUAAGUUUGCUAUCAGAAAUCUUAUUUUUUACACCCACUACAAGUAGCAACAGUUUUGACAGCGAGAAAUCCUUUUAUUACUAUGUAUGUGUACAAAACUUUGCAGCAACAUGAAAUCUGAUUUUAUUUGUAGAUACAUGAUAGUAAUAAAGUCUUAAAUCACUAAUCAAAGGUCUUUUAAUUUUUUUUCUUACUAUGUAAGAAAUAUGAUUGACCAACAAACUUAAGUGAGCGGUAAUUUGUCUGACAUUAAAAUGGGAUGACCAAUUAGCACCAAACUUGGCACAUAGCUUCUACUGGUUGUCCUUCACAAUAUGUUUAUCAUUUAAGUGCUUCAUUUCUGAAAAAAAAAAUCACCUUUACCUAGAUCUGACACUAUGAUAUGGUAAAUACAAGAGAUUCCUUCUACUGAACAGAGAUUUAAAACAAUAUUCUUUUCUACUGGCUUCUAUAGAACUCACACAGUAAAAGAGGAUCUGGAUCGGAUCCUGUUCAAAGACAUGCGUAUUCCACAAACCUGCUUGGGAGACUAUUGAAUUUUCGCGCCCGCGCAGAACAUAAACAAAAACAAACAGCGAUCACCCUAACCUCUGUCGUGUCUGCUUGGUCCAUGCUUGCCGGCGAAGUCGCUUCGUGAUAUUUAGUUUAAUUUCACAUUUUACGCACAUUUACUGCAUUUUGCGUGGUUCGAAAGGUUCCCCUUUGCAUCGGGAACGAUCAGUUAUGGUAGAGACGUGGUACUCAACGAUUUAUGGGUCCCACAGUGAAAUAUCUAACUGUAGCCUAAAAUCGUUGUUUAGGCCAUGUUUUGGCUCUGGGGCUUCGCAGUAAUAUUGAAUUCUGUUUGCCCUACUGCUGUUGUACUAGGCGAUUAUGUCAAUUUUCUACUUUUCCUGAAUGUGGACUAAUUACACUUCAGAACUUAAAACGAAUAGAAACUGUGUGGCAAUGUAUAGUUAACCCAACAUGGGUUAGCCAACCAAUGAUCAAGAUUUUGCUCCGGUAUCUAUCCAGUUGAAGACCAUAUCGAACUUUGAUGGAGUAAGAACGGAAUCAAGACUGAAUCGUCUCAUGACCGUUGUGUGUUACACAAACUUCUUCGAAACAAAGGACUAUUUUUAAAACGAGGACAGCCUGCAGGUUCAGCACUACCCUUCGGCGGAUACCUUCACACUGUAUAGUGCGAUAGAUGAUUCACCAGUUCUGGCACCUCAACACCCAUUAAGGAGCUCAUUAUUUGCAUCAAGUUCAAGGACAGGAAUUAGCUGGCCCAGCUCUCACCAUCUUGAUAUUGACGGAUUAUUGUGCAACUGACGUUAUUGCAUUAAAUUAGUAAUUUCUA